AAAGUCGUAACAAGGUUUCCGUAGGUGAACCUGCGGAAGGAUCAUUACAACGUAUCCACGUACCAAACUCGCGAACUGUUCCCAAUAGAGUGAACCUGUGGAUGAAGUUAUGGUUGACUGCUUUUCGCUGAUGGAGUUCUCGGAUUUUCAUCUGAGAACUGAAAGGCUUUCGAUCGCCAGCAGAGGUGCUCGCACCUCUCUGGGCUUCGUUUACUCUAUUGUGGUUUUCCCAUCAGCUGUUUUACACAUUAUUAUUAACCCUUUGAAAUCUGAACUGAACUUGAAAACUCAGCUGCCGUUCUUGUUGGCUUCGGUCACGGACGCAACAGCUUUGUUUUUCACAUUACGAAACAAAGAACAACUCUUAGCAACGGAUAUCUUGGUUCUC
rnacentral:misc_RNA from 1 species